rnacentral:rRNA from 1 species
UACGAGGGGGGCAAGCGUUGUUCGGAAUUAUUGGGCGUAAAGCGUGCGCAGGCGGUUUGGUAAGUCCGUUGUGAAAGCCCCGAGCUCAACUUGGGAAUUGCAGUGGAUACUGGCAGGCUGGAGUACGGUAGAGGAAGGUGGAAUUCCCGGUGUAGCAGUGAAAUGCGUAGAUAUCGGGAGGAACACCAGUGGCGAAGGCGGCCUUCUGGACCAGUACUGACGCUCAUGCACGAAAGCGUGGGGAGCAAACAGG